rnacentral:lncRNA from 1 species
CUAUCUUGUAACUGAAUCCCUGUAUUUAUUUACUGACCAUGAUUAUUGCUAACUUGAGAAUGAAAUCAGACCAGAGUUAGAUGAAUGAGACAUAAACAAUAACAUCACAUAAUGGCAGGGGCAUUUAGGGUGAUUAAGACUCAGGAUAAAACAGAUGGGUUAACUACAAAUAUUGGCUUCUAGAUGAUGAUAAAUAGGAGACAUUGAAAGUUCAACAUGCAAAUAUAAUACUCCAUGUUUAAAUAUACCAUUGAAAUAAUACAACCUGAUUAUAGAUAAAUGUGAAACUCAGUCUUCACAAAUUAUUACAGUGGCUGGCCAGUUUUCCUGAACAGAGGCUUUACAGGCAAUAUAAAUCUUGGGAUAUAGUGACAAACUGAU